rnacentral:rRNA from 1 species
AGUGAACGCUGGCGGUAGGCCUAACACAUGCAAGUCGAACGGCAGCACAGUAAGAGCUUGCUCUUACGGGUGGCGAGUGGCGGACGGGUGAGGAAUACAUCGGAAUCUACUUUUUCGUGGGGGAUAACGUAGGGAAACUUACGCUAAUACCGCAUACGACCUACGGGUGAAAGCAGGGGAUCUUCGGACCUUGCGCGAGUGAAUGAGCCGAUGUCGGAUUAGCUAGUUGGCGGGGUAAAGGCCCACCAAGGCGACGAUCCUUAGCUGGUCUGAGCGGAUGAUCAACCACACUGGAACUGAGACACGGUCCAGACUCCUACGGGAGGCAGCAGUGGGGAAUAUUGGACAAUGGGCGCAAGCCUGAUCCAGCCAUACCGCGUGGGUGAAGAAGGCCUUCGGGUUGUAAAGCCCUUUUGUUGGGAAAGAAAAGCAGCAGGUUAAUACCCCGCUGUUCUGACGGUACCCAAAGAAUAAGCACCGGCUAACUUCGUG